ACAGUGCAACUUAAUAACUUUUCCAAGUGACGAAGUUCCCCCUAAUGUGAUAAGUUUGGAUUUAAAUUUGAACAAUGUGACUAUCAUUAAAAAAGAAUUCUUCCAAGGACUCAAGAGUUUGACUAAAUUGCUCCUGGCCUUUAAUUCAAUAUCCUUAAUAGAAGACGGCUCCUUUGCCGAACUUAGCGCACGACAGCAUUGUCUUUAUCAUUUAAUCGCGUAUCAACAUUAGACGGUGGUUUUUUUUUCUGAACAAAGCACUUUAAGAAAUUUGCAUCUUUUCAAAAAUAGCAUAUCAUCAAUAGAGGAUAAUUCCUUUGCCGAACUAAGCGCUUUAGAAAAUUUAGAUUUAAGUGAAAACCGACUUACUGCCCUCCGAAAAGCAAUGUUCUCGUCUUGGAAAGUUUGAAAGAUUUGUAAGUAAACAUCAGGAUGGUUGAUUAUUUAUUUAUAGGAAUUCAUUAUAAGUAAUAACUUGAGCUUUCUAACAAAUUUACUCACUUAUAAGUCUACAACUGCCAAAAUCGUACCGAACCAUUUAAUAACAAGAAUAAGUCUGGUUUCAGUAUAAAGCCUUAUUCAAAUAAUGCACUCAGUUGGGGACCCAAUAACUGAAAUUGAGCCAGAAGCUUUUAAUACAAAGACUAAAAUGUUUAUUACUCUUGAUGAAAAUUUUCUUUGCUGCUCUCGUCUUCAUUAUGAGAAUUUAAGUUACUUAAGUGAACAAAGCACUUAUGAGGGGGAAAUUAAAGGAUACAACACUUUUGAUAGUAAUAAAUGUACCGCUUUGAAGGCUCCGAGUUCUACUAAUCAAAGUACGUUAACUCCCGUCAAUACCCCGACGGACCUGCUUUCCUCUUCACACAGCACUCAAGCCACUACGCCGGUGAUCCUACCUCUUUCCUCAACACCCAGGGCAGCGGCAGCAUUUAGAAUUCCUAAUUUUUAUGUAUGGCUAGCGCUAAGCUUAGUCCUUUCCUGCUUAUCUUAAGCUAAUAUAAUAAAU